GUGGGGAAUAUUGGGCAAUGGGGGCAACCCUGACCCAGCGACGCCGCGUGGGGGAAGAAGGCCUUAGGGUCGUAAACCUCUGUUGUGUGGGAAGAAGGAAGUGACGGUACCACACGAGGAAGUCCCGGCUAACUACGUGCCAGCAGCCGCGGUAAUACGUAGGGGACGAGCGUUGUCCGGAAUUACUGGGCGUAAAGGGCGCGUAGGCGGUCAUUUAAGUCAGCUGUGAAAUGGUCCGGCUCAACCGGAUCAUGCGGUUGAAACUGGAUGACUGGAGUGCUGGAGAGGCAAGUGGAAUUCCCAGUGUAGCGGUGAAAUGCGUAGAUAUUGGGAAGAACACCGGUGGCGAAGGCGACUUGCUGGCCAGCAACUGACGCUGAGGCGCGAAAGCCAGGGGAGCAAACGGGAUUAGAAACCCCUGUAGUCC
rnacentral:rRNA from 1 species